UUUAUGGAGAGUUUGAUCCUGGCUCAGGAUGAACGCUGGCGGCGUGCCUAAUACAUGCAAGUCGAGCGAACGGACGAGAAGCUUGCUUCUCUGAUGUUAGCGGCGGACGGGUGAGUAACACGUGGAUAACCUACCUAUAAGACUGGGAUAACUUCGGGAAACCGGAGCUAAUACCGGAUAAUAUUUUGAACCGCAUGGUUCAAAAGUGAAAGACGGUCUUGCUGUCACUUAUAGAUGGAUCCGCGCUGCAUUAGCUAGUUGGUAAGGUAACGGCUUACCAAGGCAACGAUGCAUAGCCGACCUGAGAGGGUGAUCGGCCACACUGGAACUGAGACACGGUCCAGACUCCUACGGGAGGCAGCAGUAGGGAAUCUUCCGCAAUGGGCGAAAGCCUGACGGAGCAACGCCGCGUGAGUGAUGAAGGUCUUCGGAUCGUAAAACUCUGUUAUUAGGGAAGAACAUAUGUGUAAGUAACUGUGCACAUCUUGACGGUACCUAAUCAGAAAGCCACGGCUAACUACGUGCCAGCAGCCGCGGUAAUACGUAGGUGGCAAGCGUUAUCCGGAAUUAUUGGGCGUAAAGCGCGCGUAGGCGGUUUUUUAAGUCUGAUGUGAAAGCCCACGGCUCAACCGUGGAGGGUCAUUGGAAACUGGAAAACUUGAGUGCAGAAGAGGAAAGUGGAAUUCCAUGUGUAGCGGUGAAAUGCGCAGAGAUAUGGAGGAACACCAGUGGCGAAGGCGACUUUCUGGUCUGUAACUGACGCUGAUGUGCGAAAGCGUGGGGAUCAAACAGGAUUAGAUACCCUGGUAGUCCACGCCGUAAACGAUGAGUGCUAAGUGUUAGGGGGUUUCCGCCCCUUAGUGCUGCAGCUAACGCAUUAAGCACUCCGCCUGGGGAGUACGACCGCAAGGUUGAAACUCAAAGGAAUUGACGGGGACCCGCACAAGCGGUGGAGCAUGUGGUUUAAUUCGAAGCAACGCGAAGAACCUUACCAAAUCUUGACAUCCUUUGACAACUCUAGAGAUAGAGCUUUCCCCUUCGGGGGACAAAGUGACAGGUGGUGCAUGGUUGUCGUCAGCUCGUGUCGUGAGAUGUUGGGUUAAGUCCCGCAACGAGCGCAACCCUUAAGCUUAGUUGCCAUCAUUAAGUUGGGCACUCUAAGUUGACUGCCGGUGACAAACCGGAGGAAGGUGGGGAUGACGUCAAAUCAUCAUGCCCCUUAUGAUUUGGGCUACACACGUGCUACAAUGGACAAUACAAAGGGCAGCGAAACCGCGAGGUCAAGCAAAUCCCAUAAAGUUGUUCUCAGUUCGGAUUGUAGUCUGCAACUCGACUACAUGAAGCUGGAAUCGCUAGUAAUCGUAGAUCAGCAUGCUACGGUGAAUACGUUCCGGGUCUUGUACACACCGCCCGUCACACCACGAGAGUUUGUAACACCCGAAGCCGGUGGAGUAACCUUUUAGGAGCUAGCCGUCGAAGGUGGGACAAAUGAUUGGGGUGAAGUCGUAACAAGGUAGCCGUAUCGGAAGGUGCGGCUGGAUCACCUCCUUU
rnacentral:rRNA from 1 species